rnacentral:lncRNA from 1 species
GAUAUUAUCACUUUCAUCAAAGUAAAGGACAGUUCUUUUCUCUUUUAACUUCAGCUGUCUGUCUCUGCUAUCUCUCGGAGUGAUAGAUUUUCCAGGUGAUGGUCGUGUUUUCUCUUUCGUGCUGCUUGGGGACUUCACAGGAAGAAACACAGAUGAAGGGUUGUGACACGACAAGAGGUUAUCUGAUAAGUUUCUUGGCUGGAUGUUAUCACUUUCAUUGAAGUAUAGGACAGUUCUUUUCUCUUUUAGCUUCAGCUGUCUGUCUCUGCUCUCUCUUGGACUGACAGAUUUUCCAGGUGAUGAUCGUGUUUUCUCUUUCGUGCUGCUCGGUGACUUCACAGGAAGAAACACAGAUGAAGGGUUGUGACAUAAAAGGAGGUAUGGUUGCAAAUGUUGAUGCCUUAACAACUCGGCAGCCUAUAAAUUGAGGUAAAAAUCAUAUCAAGAUGAAUCUCAAUUCAAUACCAAUUUGUUUGUAGAGUUUAAGAAAGUGAAAGAAGAUUUCUGAAUCUUGUGGUCUUAAACUAAAGAUAUGCAGAAUGUACUAAAAUGUCAUUUUAUCUUGUCGUCUUAAACUCGUAAUGUGGAAAGUUAGAAAUAAAAAGUUGACAAAAAAGAAGAGGCAUUCCUUUUUAAAUGUACUUAUAAAGGAAAGAAAGAAAAACAAAUUGAAAGGGAGGGAAUAACACAUUUGAACAUAUACAGCUUGCACUCACUGUAGGUCUGUGUUCUGGAUUUUUCCUUAGCAUGCUUUUGAUUAUCUGUUUCCUGCAAGAAUUAAAUCCGCUUUGUCAAUUGAAUGAUUUGUUAUACUUGUAGCAUGACGAGAAGAAAGAAACUUACAAGGUGGAGGAGUAUAUAAUCGGAAUUGGUGAGAACAAACCCCGGUUUAUUUUGUUGAUAAGUGCAGUCUUGUCCUGUUGGAUUUGUAUCUUGUCAGCAAAUCAUAUAGAAAACAUCAGAAUAAAGAAUGUCUACAUUUUUAUCAUAACAAGGAUAACUUUUCAAGGUAUUGUUUACAAAGUUCAGAUAGCUGAAAAUUCAACUUACAGCAGCUCUAAAUGGUGGUUGAUGUGCAGAAAUCUCAAACAUGCAGCAUCCUAAAAUC